rnacentral:tRNA from 1 species
CCGGACGUAGUCCAGGAGGAACAGGUAGUCCUGUUCGAGCCAGGACCGGAACACCGGCUCCGCCAGGUCGCCCCGU